CGCUAACAAGCUCGGACGCGGGGGUUAUGGGCCUGUCUACAAGGGAAAGCUUCAAGGAGGUCAAGAUAUUGCAGUCAAGAGGCUUUCAAGUGUUUCUUCACAAGGAAUGAAGGAAUUCAAGAAUGAAGUCGUCUUGAUAUCCAAACUUCAACAUCGAAACCUUGUUAGACUUCGGGGCUAUUGCAUUACAGGAGAAGAAAAAAUAUUACUUUAUGAAUACAUGCCAAACAAAAGCUUAGACACAUUCUUAUUCGAUCGUACACAACGGGUGAUUUUGGAUUGGCCAAUGCGUUUUGACAUAAUUUUAGGAGUUGUUAGGGGCAUGUUAUAUCUUCAUCAAGACUCUAGAUUGAGAGUAAUUCAUAGAGAUUUGAAAACUAGUAAUAUUCUUUUGGAUGAGGAGAUGCAACCAAAAAUUUCAGACUUUGGACUUGCAAAAAUAUUUGGAGACAAGGAUGUU